rnacentral:lncRNA from 1 species
GUGGAGCUGUGGGGUGAAUCUGGAGGGUUGGGUGAGCCUCAGCAAUGCAUACUGGGUGUGGUGCUGAACCCCGGGAGUCCUGAACUAAACAGAAUAUACACUGCCCUUCAAAGCCUGGAGGUCCAGGGGAGGAGAGUUAUGAGAGUGGUGACUACCCCAACUUCCUAGGAAGUUUCCUCUUGAUACUGCUGCAGUUUCAUGGUACAGGGGCUUCAAGUGUCAUCAGACAUCAGGGCCACUGCACGCCAUGACGCACGGUAACGUUUGGAUGAAAACAUUUGGUACAGAUAUUCAGAUGAAAGAUCCAAAAAGUCACUGCCAAUUAAUUCUUUAACUGGCAGAGAAAAUGGACACUAUGGAGACCCUUAGACCGUAUCAGGAAUGUCGGACUCAUCUGGCCACAGAGGUUUGAGGUGGUAGACAUUGUGAAGCCACAGAAUACAACUGGAGGCAAAGCACAGCUCAUGGUUUCUGGUGUUGGACCAGAAGGAAGGCUGGGUAAGUGGUUAGAUUGAGUUCACAACUCCAGUUUGAGACUUACACAGUCAUGUGAGUCCACUGAGAAGCAGAUAGCACCCAGUAGGGUAGCAGAUAGCACCCAAUAGGGUCUAAACAUGGAGCUUCAUGGAGGGGCGCUACAGGAAUGACAUCUGAACUCUCACCAAGGGACCCAAAACAAGUCAAGAGGUUUUUAGGGAGCAGGAAUUCCUUGGAAACCUUAAAAUGGAGACUUCUGAGCCCAUGUGCAACACUUACAUCCACUGAUGGACUUCACACUCUGCUGCCCUCCAGCCCAGGCAACAUGCUGUCCUCAGGGUGGAUGUUCUGGCCUAGUAUGGAGUCUGUAUCCUUUGGACAGGCCACGGCCAGAAACCAGCUCCUUUUCCCUUGAUUCUGGGGUUCAGGCUCUACACUUAGGCCUUUUAGGGGCCCUAAGAGAGUAAGAAAAUUGAUGUAGCUGCCCAGACUGGCUUCUGUGAUCCUGGAGAAGUCACUGCUUUUUUCUGGGCCUUGGCUUAGUGCUUGUUUGAUGACAAUCUCUGCUCCAGGUUCUGUCCCAAGUGAGGACCUGAACAAGGUAGGCAUGAGCCUUACAACUGGUGUGAAGACCCAUUUGAGCAGGAAGGUGGUCUAGGUUGUUUUCCUAACAGCUCUCAGACAGGCUAGCCUGUGACUCUUGGACUAUGUCCAGGAUGGGAUGCUGGUGUCACACAGGAAGAUGGAAUAGUUUCAGAGCAGAGAGUGGAUGCAGGUUCCACAGACUCUCAAGAGAUUUUGGGACUAAACACUGAGUUUUAGGCUCCCUCUAAGGGAGGUCUUACCCUGCAGGCUAGUGCCCUGAACAUGCCCCUUCAAGAAGCACUUCACCUCAUGUUCAGGUGAUAAGAUGACCAAGCCUUCAGAGUGAGGUCUCUGUGUCAUCUUCCAAUUGGCCCGGCUUCCACAGGAGCAAUGGGUUCCCUUCUAGACAUCAUGCAUAAGAACAAAGAGAUGGGAUUGUUUCCAGAAGUCACCGGCUUGGCUGUUAAAAGACUAUUGUUUCUUCAUGUGUGAACUCUUGGGGAUAAGCCCAAUGCCCGGCCAAUAGCACACUCUACCACUGAACUACUCCCCCAGCCUGUCCAAAGCCUUGCUGGAUGAAGAGAACCUAGGGUUGGUGGGCACUGGGAGCAGACAUUAAAUCCUUGAAGUGCUGCCUCGUGGACUCUACAGGAAGGUAGCUAACUGAGCAAAAGACUAAGUCCUGACCUAUAUGGAGCAGAGUGGGAUUUGCUGGUGCCUCACAUAGUCUUUGUAAGAGUGAAGAAUCGCAGGCAGGAUUCAAACUCUCCAAGGAGGGGAUGACAGAGAGCGUAGCGCCAUUCCCCUGGGACUGGGAGAGGGCAGGUGUCGCCUUAUGAACAAGAGAGAAUGAUCUCUGGUCUCCUGUGGCUAUCUGCCUUCAGGAAGGGUGCUGCUCGCUCCUCCAGCCCCACUCCAUAAAGACAAGCUUGUGACCUACCGUGGAGCAGGCAGACCGGAGCAGGCCUUGGGAAAGGAAGCCAAGACCCUUCCCUCCCACGCCACCACGAGAGGCUGGUCAUUAGCUUGUAGUAUAGAAGUUGGACUGGGCUGGGCCAGGCCUGGGGGUGGGAUGGGAGGAUGGCUCCUCAAUGAGUCAUCAGACCCUGUCUGCCCCUUCUUCCUUGAGGGAGGGAAGCUGGGGAGACAAGCCGUAGCCAGCUGGGUUUGUGAAGGCAGUUUGGCCACCGGAUCCUUCCAGUUCUGUGGACAACUGGGAACUGGCUUCUUUAUGUUCCUUGUCCACCACCCAGGACACAGAGUUGGUGAACCACCUGAUCAGGGUGGAAGGCUCCAUCCAAAGCCUAGUUGCCUACUCGCACGGCUAAGGUGGCAGGCCGUGCCGCAGCCUUUGGAGAGACUGCUGGGCCCUGACUGGUACUCUGCAGAAGCUGCUUGCAUGCUUCCUGUGUGAUCACAGCUGAGCCGGAGAGGCCCACCCUCCCUCACACCCUUCCUGAGCCUCCUUCCAAAUCUGUUCUCACCCAGCAGGCCUGUCCACACCACACCCUCUCCCAGACUCCCAGGGAAGCCUGGGGACAGAGGGAGUAACUUUGGGUUCAGGCCCAACCUUUCCUCCAUCCUGCCCCAGUCAGCCUGAUGCUGUGCCCUGGACAACUUCUGGAGAGGGGACCACAGAAGCACAAGGUUAUUAUACAUCUGGGAAACGGAGUCCUUGUAUGACAUAUGUAACAGGAGAACCUAGUUUGCAGGAGAAGGAACCUAGUUUGCAGGAGAGGGGACAGUAUAGUAGGGAUGUGUUACCAAAUCCUGUCAGGCCUCCUCUUUGGGGACAGUUUGGGACCACCUUAUGGCUCUUCUAGAGUGGCCUCUCUUUCUUCUUUCUGACUGGGAUGAAUAUAGGCAUGCAAAGGGUGGGGACAGUUGCCCUGGGCAAGGCAGCAGUUUGGCUUGGGAGCCAAGGCAGAUGAGAACUGGACCUCCAGGGGCUUCUGCUUUUGCCAGCAGGAGCUGGAGAUGUGCCUAGGUCUCUCUGAGCCUCAAUUUCUCCAUCUGUAAAAUGACAGUAGUAACUAUCUUCUAAAGCAAGGCAUGUUAUCUAAUUUAAUUGAGGGGCAGCAGAACCAGGCAGCCCUAAAUAUGCCACUUUGGCUGAGGGUUUUAUGGAACAAAAGGUCUUAAAAGCCUGCAGAUACGGAAGGACCUCUGAGGUCAUCUUUUCUCCUUAUAUGGAAGAGAAGAAACAUUCCUGUUACAAGAAACAGGCUUGAGGCUGGAAAAUGUCUUUACAAACCAACCUUGUUACGACAACUUCCUUCAUCCAGCUAUAGUUAUACAUGUCUGGAUUUCUAACACUUAGGAGAAAGAGGCAGGAGGAUUCCAAAUUGAAGCCAAUAUGGUUUCUAUGGUGACUUUUAGGUCAGCUUGGAUUCUUUAAGACUCUAUAUACAUUAAAAAGGCACCCCCAUCCCCCACCUCUGGGUACAUUUAAAUUAUCAAUACAUUUCACUACUACCACGUGAAGAUUUGGAGGGGGUCAUUUGGGUUCUUACUUUUCUUGGAAGUUUUCCAUGCACGUGUAAAAUAGAAUCUGUGUGUUUCUCCUGUUGGUCUGACAUAGCUGACUUCUCAAGUCCAGCUGAAGUCUAUACUAAGGCAGGGCAGAGCGUCCCUCCCUACCACUCAUAGCAGUAGCACUUGGAGGCAGAUCCUACCGAGCGUUCUUAAUGGAAAAACAGAGGUGAAGUUGUUGAAUUAUACUCCCCCACCCCUGAACCCCAAUUCCCCAUCCUGCCUCAAGAUAGGGUUUCUCUGUGUAGCAUUCACUGUCCUGGAAGUAGCUCUGUAGACAAGGCUGGCUUUGAACUCAGAGAUCUACUUGCCUCUGCCUCCUGAGUGCUGGGAUUAAAGGUAUGUGCCAGGCCAGAGGUGGAGUUGGGGACGGAUCGCAAGAACUGCUCUUGGGGAGACUGCUGCUGUCAAGGGGCAGCUUCGAGAACACAGAGAUGAGCUAAAGGGCCGUGGUGCCUGUUGAGGUUUGAAUAUAGCGUCCCCUGAAAGGCUCACAUGCUGGAGGUGGAGCCUCGUUAGGGGAGAUCAAUCUUUGAGGUGUAUCUGUGGCUGCUGUGGCUUGUCAGGAUGCCACCCUCUCUGCACUCUCUGCAGCCUCCUCUGCCACAUGCGCAGGACACUACAAUGCUGCCCUACCUAACCAUCUCACCAGCCAAUCAGCCCAUCACUGACCAAAAUCCCUGAAACCAUGGGCUGAAAAAGCUUUCUUUCCUUUCAAUGUGCAGCAUCUGUCACAAUGACAAAGGUAACACAGUGCCCUUCCCUGGACCAUGAUGCCCCGUGUUGGAGGGGAGCACAGGUGGGUGGAGCCGGGACAGGAGAACUUCUGGAAGGUCCGAAAGAGAAGUGGCUGGAGGCUUACAUGAAGGAACCAGCCUAAGGCCUUGCAGCGAUGCUUGCUGGGACAUUGGAUGAGGGGAAAGUUUUGAGCAACAAGUGUUGACACUUAGGAGUAAAAAGUUCAGUGGGUAAGGUGCCCGCACAUGGAGGUGGGAGGAGGGGGCAGCAGGGACAUAGCAUGGAUGUGUGGCACGCUGCAGCCAUGCGUCCUCAGGGGCUGGUAUUGAGUCCAUUUCACAUUACUCUCACUUCUGUGAUGUUUACAUUUUUACCAAUGAGUUCAGGUGUAGUGCCGCAUGCUUUUAGCCCCAAAGCUUAAGAAUAGACAGCCACAGGUUGAACUCUGAGUUCAAGGCCAGCCAAGGCUACAGAGUGAGCCCCUGCCUCAAAAGCAAAACAAAAUACGUUUUACCAAUGCUAUACCUCACUCAUACUUUCUUUUCUCCCUCCCCCUCCCUGUCCCUGUCCUUCUCACUCUCCCUCUUCCCUCCCUCUCUGUUUUUUUGAGAUUGGGUCCUACUAUGCAACUCUAGCUGCCUUGAACUUGUAACAGUCCUCCUGACUCAGCCUUCUGUGAGGUGUGAUUACAGACUUGUGACACCAUGCACAGCAAGCUUGUAAUUCUUUUAAGGAAAGACUGGAAACCAGGGACCUGUGCCAGUGCCAGCCAAGGACCUGUGCCAGUGCCAGCCAAGGACCUGUGCCAGUGCCAGCCAAGGACCUGUGCCAGUGCCAGCCAAGGACCUGUGCCAGUGCCAGCCAAGGACCUGUGCCAGUGCCAGCCAAGGACCUGUGCCAGUGCCAGCCAAGGACCUGUGCCAGUGCCAGCCAAGGACCUGUGCCAGUGCCAGCCAAGGACCUGUGCCAGUGCCAGCCAAGGACCUGUGCCAGUGCCAGCCAAGGACCUGUGCCAGUGCCAGCCAAGGACCUGUGCCAGUGCCAGCCAAGGACCUGUGCCAGUGCCAGCGGUGUUUGGCGCCAUCUGUGACUUGAGUUCCCUUGCUUAACUUUCUACAGCAAAGUAUUCGGGAAAUUCAAGGAAAAAAAGUGUAUGCAUAUAUACACAUAUAAAAUAUUGUAUUUUAAUAUCUAAUAUAAAUGAUACUUAUAACUUAUUUUAAUUUUCUUUAAAGUAUUUUAAAGAUAAAUACAUAUUAAUAAAUUAAAAUCUACACAAAU